AGUCAUGCCGGUGAGAAUCAACUUUGGGGAAGGGGGAUUUUUUGAACCUAACCUUGAAGUGCACUUCUUCGCUUGGCAGGUUAGCGUCGAUUUUGAACGUCAUAAAAUGAUUGGGGGAAGGUAGCUCUUUCGGGAGUGUUAUAGCCCUUAAUUAAUGUGAUAUUUGGGAUCGAGGAUUGCAACGGAUACCUUUUUAGGCUAGCCGCCUGGCCUCUGAUUCGAUGUUGGGUUAUAGACAGCACGCUGACUAUGAUCUGAUUGUUGGUCAAAAGGUUAGAGCGAGCAUAAA
rnacentral:rRNA from 1 species